rnacentral:rRNA from 1 species
GACAGAGGGUGCGAACGUUGCUCGGAAUUACUGGGCGUAAAGCGCGUGUAGGCGGACGCGCAAGUCAGGUGUGAAAUCCCUGGGCUCAACCCAGGAACUGCAUCUGAAACUGCAUGUCUGGAGUGUCGGAGAGGGAAGCGGAAUUCCUGGUGUAGAGGUGAAAUUCGUAGAUAUUCGGAAGAACACCAGUGGCGAAGGCGGCUCACUGGACGACUGUUGACGCUGAGGUGCGAAAGCGUGGGGAGCAAACAGG